ensembl:lncRNA
CGAGCCUGCGCGUUGGGCCGGGAAGGCAGGCGGGAGGGGAGGAGGCCGCGGGUCACUCGGGGCCAGCGGAGGCGUCUGGGCUGGGAUCCUGGCCCUGCCGCUAGCUCCGCGCGACUGGGGUCUGCCGGCCUCCUCCGUGCCCCGGGCGCUGCGCUGUGGUCGCUGGGGCUCUUCCAACGCGGAAACUCGGGGCGAGGCCGCGGAGAGGCGUCCCCACACAGCGGCAGGCCCGGGCCGGCAGCCCUGGGAGCUCCUGGCGUCCAGCUGAGGCUCCCCCCACCUCCGGUCUGCAGAUGGGGAAAUUGAGGCCCAGCCAGGAGCAGGGGCGCGAUCGACGUCACACAGAAAAAUUAGAGGCGGCCACGCACCCACCCGGCUGGGCCUGCCGACGCCGAGGCCUGCCCUGCCCCUCUGCACAUCACUGGCGUCCCAAAUCCCACCAGGAGCGGGGGUCCUGCCCAGCCUCCUGCUGGGCCCACCCUCGGGGGAGGUGACCCUCCCCCGGCUCCCAGGGCCCCCUGAGCGCCCGAUGAGCUCUCGUGGGGCUGGUGUUCCAGGGCAGAGUCAGCUCUUAGUGUCCCUGCCUCCACCUGGGAGGUCCGGGUCCUGCUGGGUCCUGCUGGGUCCUGUGGCCCCUCCGCCCCCCAGCGCAGGGCCUGCGAGGAUAAGUGAAACUGUCCUCCAGCCAUGGCUGACCCCACACGUGCCCAAGCUCACCAUACCUUUUUUCAAACUCUGGAGAACUCCUACUCAUCCUGCAAAACUCCAGGCUUGUGACCACUUCAGCCAACAGAGCGUCACAGCCAAGCUGCCGCGUAGCUUCCCAGGCUGAGUCAAAAGGCCACACAGCUUCUACCCCGGAGUCCUGAGGCGCCAUGUGGGAAGGAAGCUCAAUGCUGGGAGACCUCCAUGCAGUGAGGAAGCCCGGGCCGCCUGGAGAGGCCACGUGGAGGUGCGCUGGCGGGCAGUCCAGCCUUCGAGUCACCCCAGGCCAGGCGCCAGACGUGUGGAUGAGGCAGCCACAUCAGAGGCAGCUCCCCAGCCUCAGGUCUUCCAGCUCCAGCCAUUUAAGUCGUGCCAGGUAGGGCCCCAGACAUCAGAGCAGAGAAGAGCUGUCCCCACUGUGCCCUCUCAGAAUGCUCGAGCCACGGAAUUUGUGAGUGGAAUCACGUGGCUGUCGUUUUCCAUCGCUGCGUUAGGGUGGUUUGUCAUCCAGCACCAGCUGACUCCAACAGGUGAGAAGCUCAGAACCUCUUGGCCCUUAAGGCCAGCUGCACGGCCCCGUGAAGCACGAUGGUCCUGACCUGGACUCCAGUCCCAGCAGCAGAUGCUCCCCAAAUGCUCUCGGUGUUCCACAGCCCUGAUGUCACCAGGGCUCGGGAAGGUUCGCUGGGUGGGUGAACCAUGUCUGGCCUCACUGCAGCCCCAUUCACAGAGCUGUUCCUGAGUCACUCCCCAAACCUGGAAGGAGGUCAUCCCUCCUCAGAACCCCCAUGGGCCUUUGAGGCUUGCAUACUUGUGGACCCAGAAGCUCUGGGGAGGUAUCCAGGUUUUGUGGCAUCUCUGUCCUCUGUGUCUCAAUUUCCCCACCCAUGGAAUAGGACACUGAACUUAUCAUUUCUGUGGUCCCUCUGGGCUCCUAAUCUGCCUGACUGGGGGCAGUGUAUGUCUCCCCUCCACGUCCCUUUAUCCAUGUGACUCCACUUCCCAUGAAGGUGGGGAUCAUGAUUGUCAUCUCACCAUUACCUGCUCAGCACCUGGCGCUGGGCCUAGCCCAAAGGAUGGACACCACUGGUGUUUACUCAAUGAAUGAAUGAGUCAAUGAAUGAAUGAAAGACCUCUUUCUGUGCUCAUUCAUUCAAUCAAUUAAUUUUCAGCCCACACAAUAAGGAUUCCCUUAUAGCAGCUCUAGGAGUCUACUCUUGUAUGUCUCAUGUGAUGGGGAGCUCACCACCUUCCAAGAUACCCUAUUUUAUAUUGGGGCAGCUCUGAUCAGAGAGCAUUUCCCUGAGCUGGCCUCCUCCUUGGGUCCCAGGGGUGAGUGGCUGGAGAAGGAGGGAAGGGGGGGGCAGCAGAGGAAGGAGCCCUCAGUAACCCGGUCCUCAGGGCUCACGUCUGAUGAGUGCUGGGAGCAGGUGAGGGGACUCCGGGGUGCUCGAAACCCCUUGGCUCUCUCUGCACGGGUCCGGUUGGGGUCCUGGGGUGGGUAGGUUGCGGGCAGCGAGUGCCAUGGUGCCCAGGGCCCAGCACACCAGGAGGUCUGCGGAGACUAAGAAAGCAGCUGGGCAGAGAGAAGAGCAGGGCGGGACAGGUGGCCUGUGUUGUUUCCAUGGCUUCAAUGCCUCUGCCUGCCCGGCCUGGCUUGGGAAAAACAGGCUGGGCACCGAGCAAGCAGCGCCUGUGACCGCCCGGGACAAAGGCCAGGCUGUUUAGGCGCUCAUGGCGGCCAACUGGGCCUGCCCAGCGGGACAUGGGUUUAGUCUAGGCCAGUUGGGGCUGAGCUGCCAGGCCCCACAGCCUGUCCCUGGGGACCGAGCCGGGGCUGGGGGCAGGGGCGGGGGAGGCAAGGAGGUUCCUGGGGCAGGUGGUACCCCCAGCUCCGCCCUCCGGGUGCACAGUCCUCUUGCGCAGCCUCUCAGGAGACUGAAGACAGCAGAAGCUCCUUGGAUAAUGGAAUAGGGUUUCCCCCUCCGUCUCUGGGUGAGGAGCCAAGAGACCAGGGUGUCAGUGGCAACAUCCCAGUGGGCCUCCCACUCUUCCGAGGGGCACCCCCAAAGAGUGACCAGACAGGGGCCCAUGUGUGAGGUAUGUGUUUGCAGCCUCUGUGGACAGACGCUGUCUCUGGCCCCGAGCUGGGCAUACCUAAAGUGGCAGCAUGCUGGUGCCCGGAGCACCCAAGAAGCACCAGAGGCAGCCCCCUCCCAAGGCCGGAUGGAGCUGGCAGACGAAUGCCCUUCAGCCAGGCCAACUCAGAGCUGCGCUCUGCACAAUGUCCCGGGGCGGGGGCACUGAGCCCCAGCGGCCUCAGAGGUGACCUGCUUGAUGACAUAUGCUGUGCUGGCUGUGUCCCCUCCCUGCGACACUUCUCCACUCCCUCCCCAUGUCUUCUGGGGUUGGCUCCCAAAUAAGCCGUGCUCGCAGGAGUCGAUGCUUCAGGGCCGCCUUCUGGGGAGACCCCGAGCAGGCCAUGAGCUCACAGAAGGAUCUCUGCAGCUCCCCGGGGCUUCUGUGUCCUGGAGCUGAGACCACAACGUCCUCCCAGGAACUGUGACCCUGGGGCGUGUGGGAAGUGUCACCGAGGAGGGCACGGAGGCCAGAAGCCCUGGAAGGGGGGUCCUGGGCUGCGCCUAAGGGAAGGAGGCUUUAGGCUGGAGGAGACGGGGAAGGCGCUGAGAGCUGGGGGUCUGCCCAAAUCGCAGCUCUCAGGCCUCCAGAAGCCCCUUACUGCCCCUUCGUCCGUGCCUCCAUGGCGGGUGGUGGAGCUCCCUGCACCCCUCGCCUGCCCCUUCCCCACUUGGGGCGGACUGCCUACCUGCCCCGUCUCAGCCUCCACAGCUAGAAGGGGUGGUGUGCUCUGCGCACACUGUGUGGCAGUGUGGGCUCCCAGGAAGCCACUCUGAGCCAGGCUUUAGGGAGCAGGAUGUCUGUUGGGGAUGGCCUGGGGUCACCACUGUGGCUGGGAGGGGAAGGAGGCAGGCAUGGGCAGAGGCCUGACCCCGCAGGAAGUCUGGAACUAGAAGCCACCAGAGCUGGCCUGAGUUGGGUGGAAGCGGCCAGGCCUUGACUCUCCCUGCAUCCGUCACUGGAUGUGGCCGGCCCAGGGAGGUCAUGACCUUGGGACAGGCUGGUCUCUGCAGUUUGAGGCCAACCCCGAAGGGGCUCAGGCGGAGGGCUGCAUGCGCUGGAGGGAGCUCCGAAGUGGGGGAAGGUGAGGCUCGGGCACCCACAGGCAAGCGCUGCCUGGGGGUCUCUGUCCUGUCCAGCUGGCCCUGGAAAUCCCCCUGCCCCUGACGCUCAGCCUCGCAUAACUGAGGUCAUCACCUUCCCCAGCUCCUCCUGCCUCCUGCUUGGUCCCAGUGAAGCCCUACUUCCACGGGGCCAGCCUGGCCCUCCCCACCUCUCCACCCCCACCUCACCUGUGGGCCUGACCUCACAGGCCCCCAGCCUCCACUUCUCAGCCAGAGUGACCUUCCCAAACGGUCCCUACCCUCAGUCACCUCCACUCACACUCUCGCUCUGCCACCCAAGUGGCCUGUAGCCCUUGACUGUGCGUUCCACUCACCUCCAUUGCCACCUAACCCUCCGGCCCCCGUGAGUUACCCCCGAGCCCUGGGCUGAAGUCUUGGGAGGCCUUCCCUGGCCCUCGGCCCCAACUCAGGAUUCUCAGCCUUUUGCCAGCUCUGCGGCUGCAGGCAGCUUCGCCUGCGUGGGCUCCCGGGGCAGGGCCGUGUCUGUCUCCUUCAUGCUGUGUCCCAGGGCCCAGCACAGGCCUGCGACCCCGCAGGCCCUCAGCGAACACGUGGAGAGAAGAAAGGAAGGAAGGAUGGGUGGAAGGAAGGGAG